GUGCCAGCUCUCCCGGAACUGGAGUUACAAAUGAAAGAUCCCACGCAGAGAGACCCUUACUCAAGUCUUGGGAAAUCGCGGACCCCAGACACAGAGAGACCA
rnacentral:pre_miRNA from 14 species